rnacentral:rRNA from 1 species
UCCUACGGGAGGCAGCGAGUGGGGAAUAUUGCACAAUGGGGGAAACCCUGAUGCAGCGACGCCGCGUGGAGGAAGAAGGUCUUCGGAUUGUAAACUCCUGUUGUUGAGGAAGAUAAUGACGGUACUCAACAAGGAAGUGACGGCUAACUACGUGC